rnacentral:rRNA from 1 species
GGGGAAUUUUCCGCAAUGGGUGAAAGCCUGACGGAGCAACGCCGCGUGCGGGAGGACGGCCUGUGGGUUGUAAACCGCUUUUCUCAGGGAAGAAGAUCUGACGGUACCUGAGGAAUCAGCAUCGGCUAACUCCGUGCCAGCAGCCGCGGUAAUACGGAGGAUGCAAGCGUUAUCCGGAAUUAUUGGGCGUAAAGCGUCCGCAGGCGGUUCAUCAAGUCUGCUGUUAAAGGCCGAGGCUCAACCUCGGUUAAGCAGUGGAAACUGGUGAACUAGAGUGCGAUAGGGGUAGAGGGAAUUCCCAGUGUAGCGGUGAAAUGCGUAGAUAUUGGGAAGAACACCAGUGGCGAAGGCGCUCUACUGGGUCGCAACUGACGCUGAGGGACGAAAGCUAGGGGAGCGAAAAAGAUUAGAUACCCCUGUAGUC